rnacentral:misc_RNA from 1 species
GAUGAAGAACGCAGCGAAAUGCGAUAAGUAAUGUGAAUUGCAGAAUUCAGUGAAUCAUCGAAUCUUUGAACGCACCUUGCACCCUUUGGCAUUCCGAAGGGUAUGCUCGUUUGAGUGUCAUUGUACUCUCACUCUCCCGAUACUUUUGGAUCGGGAGUGGUGGACUUGGGAGCUGCUGCUUAACUGUGGCUCGCCUUAAAUGAAGUAGUGCAACUCUCGGUUGGACAUAGUACGGCGUGAUAAGUGUCUUCGCCGGCGCCUCAUUCGAGGGUGGCCGAUCGGGAGCUCUGUGCUUCAAACUGUCUUCGGACAACAUCUGACAACUUGACCUCAAAUCGAGUAGGACUACCCGCUGAACUUAAGCAUAUCAAUAAGCGGAGGA